rnacentral:rRNA from 1 species
GGGAGUCGUACAGGUACCCGUAAAUUUUGAUCUUGGCCCGGAAAUUUUGACCAGGGUACCCGAAAUUUUUAACCGGGGACCGGAAAAUUUUAACCUGGGUACCCUAAAUUUUAAACCGGGAUACCUAAAGUUUACCUGGGGUAACACCAGAUUGGCGAUUUCCUCCCAUGAGGGGAUCGGGAAAGGCGGAACAAUCUGCCACUUUUGGAUGGACCUACGGCGCAUUAGCUAGUUGGUGGGGUAACGGCUCACCAAGGCGACGAUGCGUACCCGACCUGAGAGGGUGAUCGGCCACACUGGGACUGAAACACGGCCCAAACUCCUACGGGAGGCAGCAGUAGGGAAUCUUCCGCAAUGGACGCAAGUCUGACGGGACAACGCCGCGUGAGUGAUGAAGGUUUUCGGAUCGUAAAGCUCUGUUGCCAGGGAAAAACGCUAGGGAAAGUAACUGUUCCAUAGGUGACGGUACCUGAAAAAAAAGCCCCGGCUAACUACGUGCCAGCAGCCGCGGUAAUACGUAGGGGGAGAGCGUUGUCCGGAAUUAUUGGGCGUAAAGCGCGCGCAGGCGGUCAUGUAAGUC